CAGUAGCCGCGGUAAUACAGAGGGUGCGAGCGUUAAUCGGAAUUACUGGGCGUAAAGCGCACGUAGGCUGACAUUUAAGUCAGGGGUGAAAUCCCGGGGCUCAACCUCGGAACUGCCUUUGAUACUGGGUGUCUUGAGUGUGGAAGAGGUAAGUGGAAUUGCGAGUGUAGAGGUGAAAUUCGUAGAUAUUCGCAGGAACACCAGUGGCGAAGGCGGCUUACUGGUCCACAACUGACGCUGAGGUGCGAAAGCGUGGGGAGCAAACAGGAUUAGAGACCCCCGUAGUCCCUGUCUCUUAUAC
rnacentral:rRNA from 1 species